rnacentral:rRNA from 1 species
UACGUAGGGUCCGAGCGUUGUCCGGAAUUAUUGGGCGUAAAGAGCUCGUAGGCGGUUUGUCGCGUCUGCUGUGAAAUCCCGAGGCUCAACCUCGGGCCUGCAGUGGGUACGGGCAGACUGGAGUGCGGUAGGGGAGAAUGGAAUUCCUGGUGUAGCGGUGGAAUGCGCAGAUAUCAGGAGGAACACCGAUGGCGAAGGCAGUUCUCUGGGCAUGACCUGACGCUGAGGAGCGAAAGUGUGGGGAGCGAACAGG